CGCCGUCGCAUCUCACUGCUCCACAGCAAACUGAUUCAUUCAUCCACUGUGCACUCCGGUCCGAUAUAACCAGCGGCCGCUCUUUUCCCUUCUGUUAACGCAGCCCGCCGAGAAAGCCCGCGCCUUGCGGACAGACAGGAGGACAAGUUGGAAUUUAUCCCCACCUCCGGCCGUUCCGCGCCGCCACCACGUGAUUCCGAGCCCUAGGACGGCGGCGGCGACGAUGGCGAGCAGGGCCGGCGCCGUGAGCGCGGGGGCGGCGGCGGACACGGGCAGCCCGAGCGCGCGUUUGGCGGCGGCGGGGGCAGGGGAGGAGGAGGCCGGGGCGGGGAAGGUGAAGCUGCUGUGCAGCUACGGGGGCCGGAUCGCGCCGAGGUCGGGGGACGGGGCGCUGCGCUACGUGGGCGGCCAGAUGCGCCUCAUCUCCGUGCCCCGCGCCGCCUCCUUCGCGGACCUCAUGCGCAAGGUCGAGGCCGUCGACGACGCCGCCGGACCCGCCCCCGCCGCCGCCGGCGGGGGGGCGCUCGUCAAGUACCAGCUCCCCGGGGAGGACCUGGACUCGCUCGUCUCGGUGUCCUGCGCCGAGGACUACGACAACAUGCUGGAGGAGUACGAGAAGCUGGCCGCCGCCGCGCCCGACGGCUCCGCCAAGCUCCGGGUCUUCCUCUUCCCGGCCGACUCCGCCUCCGGCUCCGGCUCGCACCCCGCCGCCGUCGACGAGGCCGGGCAGCGCUACAUCGACGCCGUCCGCCGCAGGGAGAGCGGCUCCUCCGCGCACAACUCCGAGGCCUCCGAGCCCGCCGGCCUCGCCGAAGGUAUGUCGCCGCGGGCCGUGCCGCCCCCUUCCGUCCCGCCUGAAUAUUUGUAUUCGGCUGGGAGCCACACCAACCAUGCUAGCCCCUUUCCGCAGUCGCUAGGAUUUAGUGCUGUCGCAGCGUCAGCUCCGGCAAUGGGCAUUCCGGCGCACAACCCCGUGUUGCUUAGGCCGGAGCCGCAACCGCUGCAGCCUCACCAAGUUGCUUCCUAUGCGCCGCCGCCGCCGCAUCAGCCGGCUCCGGUUGCCUCUUAUGCACAGCAUCAGCAGCCGGCUCAACAAGUUGCCUCUUAUGCGCCGCCACUGCAGCCUCAGGUUGCCUCUUACGCGCCGCCGCAGCAGCUGCCCCAGGUUGCUUCUUAUGCGCCGCCGCCGCAGCUGCCUCAGGUUACUGCUUAUACUUCGCAAAUGCCACAAUCAUACAUAGAGCCUCAACAAAUCCAGUACGUCAAUGCACAGCAAUUUGGUCUGCAUGGUGUAUCUCAAUCCGCUAAUCUGAUGCCUGCGCACAUGAGCCAGUAUGUGCCCAGUACUCUGGGUACGAACUCCAUGGCGACCACGGGUGCCCAAAUUGGUGCUUUGAGGCCUGUUUCUGCAGGUACAGAGCGGGUUUUGGAGAAUCUUCAUUUCUCACGGCCAAUGCAAACUCCAGUUGAUCCGAAUUACAGGGUGCUCCAGCCACUUUCAGAGCUUCCUCCUCUGCCUCAUACGACUUUGCAGGCAAGUGAUGCUCAGAGGUAUGGCGUCCAGACGGUGCUCACAAGCACGGCAAGCUCACCAGUGAUAACGAGCUCGAGGGCAUUCCCAGUGGUGGUAAGCUCAGCUACCGUGCCAACACUGAGGUACGAUGACUGCAUGAUGUGCCAGAAAAUACUGCCGCAUGCCCAUUCGGAUAACAUGAUACAGGAGCAGGGAAAUCCUCGCGCACUGAAUUAUCCUGAUGUUAGUCCAGUGUUUUACAGCCUCCAUCAAGAGGAUGCAACCAAACAACAGGUUCCAGCUGCGGUUCCAGUAACAUCUGCUAAUUACAUAUCAGAACCCAGAGCCGAGAGCACAGCAGGGAUGACCCAGUUUGAUCCAAAACUUUCUGCCAGAAAUCCAGCAGUUCAAGCAGCACCAUCUCAAGAUGCAGGAACGUUGGUUCAACCCACCAUGGUUACUGUACCUCUUUCCAGUAUACCUACUUCAAAUGGAGUUUUUGUAGGGCAACCUCCACACACGCUUGCUGAAGAUUUUCUCAUGUACCAACGUCAGCAGCAACACCCUUACAGUAUGCAAACAACUCAAGUCCUGGCAAAUGGAGUCAGCAGCAAUCCACAAGGGAUUGAUGCUAGUGCAUUUAAGAAUUCAAAUCAUCCAGUAGAAGAACCAAUUGGAGAAUAUGCUCAUGAUGUUCCUCAUGAUUGUGUCAGAGCUAUCGAUGCUCGGAUGCAAGGAAUUCAGUUAGGUCCUAUUGCUCCUCCAGAAUCUAUUGUGCAAGGGAAGUCAGCUAUUCCCCAUGGUGCUGUUGGCGAUGGGAUAGUUGAGAAGCCACCUGUUAUUAUUGAUGGCAGUCCCAUAUACAAAUCUCAAGCUGGAGGUUAUCACAUGGGCACUAGCAAUGCUUUUCCUGUCCCUUCUUUUAUCCUAGAGGACAAUGUUGUGAGACAUACUGAACAACCACCUCCCUCUCGAAAUGUUGGUGCGAACAACGUCUAUCCUGAGGUUAUCCAGCAGCCAAGUAUGUUACUCAAGAACAACCUUGGUGUGCCCAUUGAACAUCCUGUUCCGAGCGAAAGAUUUCUUGUGAGGCCUGCUUACUCUGGUGUUCAGUCUCCUGCUGGACCUCCUGCACAUCAUCCUGGGGAAAUGCUGAAUGGCAUGGUUUCCGCUCCCUAUAAUGAUCCUUGGAAAGCAAUUGGAAAUGCUUCGGCAGUACCUCCAACAUCAAACAUGUUGGCUAAGGAACAUGUUCUUUCUGGAGAUCCAUAUGUGGAUGGCCAUGUUCCUGCAAUUACAAGUUCAAAUGCUGCCAUGCUAUUAGAAGAAGGCAAUCUUCCACUCAUUCAUGACCCUACUUUCAAGGAUAUAUACCCAGAACCUGCUCAAAUAAGCAAAGGAUAUGGAGAAGAAAUUGUCAAACGUCAAUUACAAGCUGUCGCUGAAGGUGUGGCAGCAUCUGUUCUGCAGUCACCAUUUCCUGAAAAACCAACUGAAUUUUCUGGGGAUCACAAAGAUUUGCCUGGAGAUGUAAUUGAUCCAAAAAAUGAGGAUGCGCCGAGCAAACAGUCAGACAAAACAAGCCAAGGAGUUCCAGUUCUAGAUGACAUCGAUAACCUUCAGAUAAUAAAGAACAGUGAUCUUGAAGAAUUGCGUGAACUAGGUUCUGGAACCUUUGGUACCGUUUACCAUGGAAAAUGGAGAGGUUCUGAUGUCGCUAUAAAAAGGAUAAGCGAUCGAUGUUUUGUUGGGAAGCCUUCUGAGGAACAGCGCAUGAAAACCGAUUUCUGGAAUGAAGCUUGCAAGCUUUCAUCGUUGCACCAUCCAAAUGUCGUUGCUUUUUACGGUGUUGUUCUGGAUGGACCAGGUGGAUCUGUUGCAACAGUCACUGAGUACAUGGCUAAUGGUUCGCUUCGACAAGCAUUACAAAGACAUGAAAAGAUAUUCGACAGGCGUAGGCGCCUGCUAAUUGUGAUGGAUGUUGCAUUUGGUAUGGAAUAUUUGCACGGGAAGAACAUUGUGCACUUCGACUUGAAGAGUGAUAAUCUGCUCGUCAACCUAAGAGAUCCCCAACGCCCUAUAUGCAAGGUCGGUGAUUUGGGCUUAUCAAAGGUUAAAUGCCAGACACUAAUCUCCGGUGGGGUGCGAGGGACACUUCCCUGGAUGGCUCCUGAGCUGUUAAAUGGCAGCAGUAACCUUGUUUCUGAAAAGGUCGACGUCUUCUCAUUCGGAAUCGUGAUGUGGGAGCUGCUUACCGGUGAAGAGCCUUAUGCUGACCUGCAUUAUGGCGCCAUCAUAGGUGGGAUCGUGAACAACACCCUACGGCCGCUGGUGCCCGAGUCGUGCGACCCCCAGUGGAGAUCGCUGAUGGAGCAGUGCUGGUCAGCCGAGCCGAUGGAGCGGCCGAGCUUCACGGAGGUCGUCAAGAGGCUACGGGCUAUGGCGACCUCCCCCACCAAGACGCUGCCGCAGAAGUAGACUGCCCUUAGCUCCGUACAUGAGCAAGGGAAAAUAUAGAGAAGGACGCGGCGACGCUGCUCACAAUAGGAUAGAGCUGGUGGGGGUUUGCCUGACACUUCAUGUGGUGCUUUUAGACACUGAUGAUGAUGAUGAUGAUGAAAUGUAAGAGCAUGUACAGGGAGCUGCCGCGGCAACGGUUGGUGAAUGUGUUAUGUACCGGCUCCUGGGUGCUCCGGGACUUGUUUCCUGCGUGUGGUCGAUGUGCAGAAGCCUGCUGGAACAAAUGCAGAAUGCAGUCUGUGGCCUGCGUUCUCUUGCUAGCUCGGAUGCGUGAGCUUGCCUGUGAUCUCAAAGCGUCUCGUUUUACUUUUCAGCUGUAAUGUUUCCGAAACUCUGGUUUGCGCUUGGUGAUAUUCUCCCGUGUUUGUGAAGAUGAGGC
rnacentral:rRNA from 1 species